rnacentral:rRNA from 1 species
UGGGGAAUUGUUCACAAUGGGCGCAAGCCUGAUGACGCAACGCCGCGUGGAGGAUGAAGGUCUUCGGAUUGUAAACUCCUGUUGCCAGGGACGAAUAGCUCCGACCUAAUACGUCGGAGUGUGACGGUACCUGGUGAGGAAGCCCCGGCUAACUCUGUGCCAGCAGCCGCGGUAAUACAGAGGGGGCAAGCGUUGUUCGGAAUUACUGGGCGUAAAGGGCGCGUAGGCGGCCCGCUAAGUCGAACGUGAAAUCCCCAGGCUCAACCUGGGAACUGCGUCCGAUACUGGCAGGCUUGAAUCCGGGAGAGGGAUGUGGAAUUCCAGGUGUAGCGGUGAAAUGCGUAGAUAUCUGGAGGAACACCGGUGGCGAAGGCGGCAUCCUGGACCGGUAUUGACGCUGAGGCGCGAAAGCUAGGGGAGCAAACGG